UGGGGAAUUUUGGACAAUGGGCGAAAGCCUGAUCCAGCAAUGCCGCGUGUGUGAAGAAGGCCUUCGGGUUGUAAAGCACUUUUGUCCGGAAAGAAAUCCUUGGCUCUAAUACAGUCGGGGGAUGACGGUACCGGAAGAAUAAGCACCGGCUAACUACGUGCCAGCAGCCGCGGUAAUACGUAGGGUGCAAGCGUUAAUCGGAAUUACUGGGCGUAAAGCGUGCGCAGGCGGUUUGCUAAGACCGAUGUGAAAUCCCCGGGCUCAACCUGGGAACUGCAUUGGUGACUGGCAGGCUAGAGUAUGGCAGAGGGGGGUAGAAUUCCACGUGUAGCAGUGAAAUGCGUAGAGAUGUGGAGGAAUACCGAUGGCGAAGGCAGCCCCCUGGGCCAAUACUGACGCUCAUGCACGAAAGCGUGGGGAGCAAACAGGAUUAGAUACCCUGGUAGUCCACGCCCUAAACGAUGUCAACUAGUUGUUGGGGAUUCAUUUCCUUAGUAACGUAGCUAACGCGUGAAGUUGACCGCCUGGGGAGUACGGUCGCAAGAUUAAAACUUAAAU
rnacentral:rRNA from 1 species